rnacentral:rRNA from 1 species
UACGUAGGGUGCAAGCGUUGUCCGGAAUUAUUGGGCGUAAAGAGCUCGUAGGCGGUUUGUCGCGUCGGCUGUGAAAUCCCGAGGCUCAACCUCGGGCCUGCAGUCGAUACGGGCAAACUAGAGUGUGGUAGGGGAGACUGGAAUUCCUGGUGUAGCGGUGAAAUGCGCAGAUAUCAGGAGGAACACCGGCGGCGAAGGCGGGUCUCUGGGCCAUAACUGACGCUGAGGCGCGAAAGCUAGGGGAGCAAACGGG